rnacentral:rRNA from 1 species
ACGGGAGGCAGCAGUGGGGAAUAUUGGGCAAUGGGCGAAAGCCUGACCCAGUAACGCCGCGUGAAGGAAGAAGGCCUUCGGGUUGUAAACUUCUUUUAUCAGGGACGAAGAACGUGACGGUACCUGAUGAAUAAGCCACGGCUAAAUACGUGCCAGCAGCCGCGGUAAUACGUAUGGUGCAAGCGUUAUCCGGAUUUACUGGGUGUAAAGGGAGCGUAGACGGCAUGGCAAGCCAGAUGUGAAAGGCAGGGGCUCAACUCCUGGACUGCAUUUGGAACUGUCAAGCUAGAGUAUCGGAGAGGUAAGUGGAAUUCCUAGUGUAGCGGUGAAAUGCGUAGAUAUUAGGAGGAACACCAGUGGCGAAGGCGGCUUGCUGGACGAUAACUGACGUUGAGGCUCGAAAGCGUGGGGAGCAAACAGGAUUAGAUACCCUGGUA